rnacentral:rRNA from 1 species
AUUGAACGCUGGCGGCAGGCCUAACACAUGCAAGUCGAACGAGUGGCGGACGGGUGAGUAAUGUGGGGGAAACUGCCUGAUGGAGGGGGAUAACUACUGGAAACGGUAGCUAAUACCGCAUACCAUCGGAUGUGCCCAGAUGGGAUUAGCUAGUAGGUGGGGUAAAGGCGAACCUAGGCGACGCUCCCUAGCGGGUCUGAGAGGAUGACCAGCCACACUGGAACUGAGAGACGGUCCAGACUCCGCCGGGAGGCAGCAGUGGGGAAUAUUGCACAAUGGGCGCAAGCCUGAUGCAGCCAUGCCGCGUGUAUGAAGAAGGCCUUCGGGUUGUAAAGUACUUUCAGCGGGGAGGCGUUACCCGCAGAAGAAGCACCGGCUAACUCCGUGCCAGCAGCCGCGGUAAUUC